AUUGAACGCUGGCGGCAUGCCUUACACAUGCAAGUCGAGCGGCAGCAUGAUCUAGCUUGCUAGAUUGAUGGCGAGUGGCGAACGGGUGAGUAAUACAUCGGAACGUGCCCUGUAGUGGGGGAUAACUAGUCGAAAGAUUAGCUAAUACCGCAUACGACCUGAGGGUGAAAGUGGGGGACCGCAAGGCCUCAUGCUAUAGGAGCGGCCGAUGUCUGAUUAGCUAGUUGGUGAGGUAAAGGCUCACCAAGGCGACGAUCAGUAGCUGGUCUGAGAGGACGAUCAGCCACACUGGGACUGAGACACGGCCCAGACUCCUACGGGAGGCAGCAGUGGGGAAUUUUGGACAAUGGGCGAAAGCCUGAUCCAGCAAUGCCGCGUGUGUGAAGAAGGCCUUCGGGUUGUAAAGCACUUUUGUCCGGAAAGAAAUGGCUCUGGUUAAUACCUGGGGUCGAUGACGGUACCGGAAGAAUAAGGACCGGCUAACUACGUG
rnacentral:rRNA from 1 species